rnacentral:lncRNA from 1 species
AUCCUGAAUCUGUAUGCAGAAGAAAACGCUAUUGAAGACACUAUCUUUUACUUGGGAGAAGCCUUGAGAAGGGGCGUGAUAGACCUGGAUGUCUUCCUGAAGCAUGUACGUCUUCUGUCCCGUAAACAGUUCCAGCUGAGGGCACUAAUGCAAAAAGCAAGAAAGACUGCCGGUCUCAGUGACCUCUACUGACUUCUCUGAUACCAGCUGGAGGUUGAGCUCUUCUUAAAGUAUUCUUCUCUUCCUUUUAUCAACUUCAGUGCCCUGAACGGUUAGAGAAAUUAAUGAAGGAGCUCCACCAGGUGCCUUCACAACUCUGAGUCAUAUCAGAAUCUCUCCACAGCUCUCCUUUCAAAAAUGACACCGUGACAUUUCAGGAUGUGAAAAAACUUACUGGAAAGUGUGUAAGAAAAUAUAAAAUACUAUUGUACAAUGUGAUAA